CAAGUAGGCGGUUUAGUAAGUGAGGGGUGAAAUCUCCCGACUCAAUCGGGAAAUUGCCUUUCAAACUGCUAGACUUGAGAAUGGAAGGGGGAAACGGAAUUAGCGGUGUAAGGGUGAAAUCUGUAGAUAUCGCUAAGAACACCGGUGGCGAAGGCGGUUUCCUGGUCCAUUUCUGACGCUGAUCUGCGAAAGCUAGGGGAGCAAACAGGAUUAGAUACCCUGGUAGUCC
rnacentral:rRNA from 1 species